rnacentral:rRNA from 1 species
GAUGAACGCUGGCGGCGUGCCUAAUACAUGCAAGUCGAGCGAACAGACGAGGAGCUUGCUCCUCUGACGUUAGCGGCGGACGGGUGAGUAACACGUGGAUAACCUACCUAUAAGACUGGGAUAACUUCGGGAAACCGGAGCUAAUACCGGAUAAUAUAUUGAACCGCAUGGUUCAAUAGUGAAAGACGGUUUUGCUGUCACUUAUAGAUGGAUCCGCGCCGCAUUAGCUAGUUGGUAAGGUACGGCUUACCAAGGCGACGAUGCGUAGCCGACCUGAGAGGGUGAUCGGCCACACUGGAACGGAGACACGGUCCAGACUCCUACGGGAGGCAGCAGUAGGGAAUCUUCCGCAAUGGGCGAAAGCCUGACGGAGCAACGCCGCGUGAGUGAUGAAGGUCUUCGGAUCGUAAAACUCUGUUAUUAGGGAAGAACAAAUGUGUAAGUAACUAUGCACGUCUUGACGGUACCUAAUCAGAAAGCCACGGCUAACUACGUG